rnacentral:rRNA from 1 species
UAAGGAAUAUUGCUCAAUGGGAGAAAUCCUGAAGCAGCAACGCCGCGUGGAGGAUGAAGGGUCUAUGACUUGUAAACUCCUGUAAAGAAGGAAAAAAUUCCCAUUAGAUGGGAGAUGAUGGUACUUCUGGAGUAAGCCCCGGCUAACUACGUGCCAGCAGCCGCGGUAAUACGUAGGGGGCAAGCGUUGUCCGGAUUUACUGGGUGUAAAGGGUGCUCAGGCGGAUUUGUAAGUCAGAGGUGAAAUCUUACAGCUUAACUGUGAAACUGCCUUUGAUACUGCAAGCCUAGAGUAUGGAAGAGAGUGAUGGAAUAUCUGGUGUAGCAGUGAAAUGCGUAGAUAUCAGAUAGGACACCAAUGGCGAAGGCAGUCACUUGGUCCAUUACUGACGCUAAAGCACGAAAGCGUGGGUAGCAAACA